rnacentral:rRNA from 1 species
AAUAGAUACCCAGGUAGUCCACGCCCUAAACGAUGUCUACUAGUUGUCGGGUCUUAAUUGACUUGGUAACGCAGCUAACGCGUGAAGUAGACCGCCUGGGGAGUACGGUCGCAAGAUUAAAACUCAAAGGAAUUGACGGGGACCCGCACAAGCGGUGGAUGAUGUGGAUUAAUUCGAUGCAACGCGAAAAACCUUACCUACCCUUGACAUGUCAGGAAUCCUGGAGAGAUCUGGGAGUGCCCGAAAGGGAGCCUGAACACAGGUGCUGCAUGGCUGUCGUCAGCUCGUGUCGUGAGAUGUUGGGUUAAGUCCCGCAACGAGCGCAACCCUUGUCAUUAGUUGCUACGAAAGGGCACUCUAAUGAGACUGCCGGUGACAAACCGGAGGAAGGUGGGGAUGACGUCAAGUCCUCAUGGCCCUUAUGGGUAGGGCUUCACACGUCAUACAAUGGUACAUACAGAGGGCCGCCAACCCGCGAGGGGGAGCUAAUCCCAGAAAGUGUAUCGUAGUCCGGAUCGCAGUCUGCAA